UACGUAGGGGGCUAGCGUUGUCCGGAAUCAUUGGGCGUAAAGAGCGUGUAGGCGGUCCGGUAAGUCCGCUGUGAAAGUCGGGGGCUCAACCCUCGAAUGCCGGUGGAUACUGUCGGGCUAGAGUGCGGAAGAGGCGAGUGGAAUUCCUGGUGUAGCGGUGAAAUGCGCAGAUAUCAGGAGGAACACCUAUUGCGAAGGCAGCUCGCUGGGACGGUACUGACGCUGAGGCGCGAAAGCGUGGGGAGCAAACAGG
rnacentral:rRNA from 1 species